GCUGAGUCUGGGUCUUUAGUGAGGUGGAGUCUGGAUGCUGAGUCUGGGUCUUUAGAGAGGUGGAGUCUGGAUGCUGAGUCUGGGUCUUUAGAGAGGUGGAGUCUGGAUGCUGAGUCUGGGUCUUUAGAGAGGUGGAGUCUGGAUGCUGAGUCUGGGUCUUUAGAGAGGUGGAGUCUGGAUGCUGAGUCUGGGUCUUUAGAGAGGUGGAGUCUGGAUGCUGAGUCUGGGUCUUUAGAGAGGUGGAGUCUGGAUGCUGAGUCUGGGUCUUUAGAGAGGUGGAGUCUGGAUGCUGAGUCUGGGUCUUUAGUGAGGUGGAGUCUGGAUGCUGAGUCUGGGUCUUUAGAGAGGUGGAGUCUGGAUGCUGAGUCUGGGUCUUUAGAGAGGUGGAGUCUGGAUGCUGAGUCUGGGGUUAGAGAGGUGGAGUCUGGAUGCUGAGUCUGGGUCUUUAGAGAGGUGGAGUCUGGAUGCUGAGUCUGGGUCUUUAGAGAGUGGAGUCUGGAUGCUGAGUCUGGGUCUUUAGUGAGGUGGAGUCUGGAUGCUGAGUCUGGGUCUUUAGUGAGGUGGAGUCUGGAUGCUGAGUCUGGGUCUUUAGUGAGGUGGAGUCUGGAUGCUGAGUCCGGGUCUUUAGAGAGGUGGAGUCUGGAUGCUGAGUCUGGGUCUUUAGAGAGGUGGAGUCUGGAUGCUGAGUCUGGGUCUUUAGAGAGGUGG
ensembl:lncRNA